UACGGAGGGUGUAAGCGUUGUUCGGAAUUAUUGGGCGUAAAGCGCACGUAGGCGGGUCUAUCAGUCGAUUGUGAAAUCCCCGGGCUUAACCCGGGACUUGCAGUCGAUACUGUAGAUCUUGAAUGUUUGAGAGGAUGGCGGAAUUCCUGGUGUAGAAGUGAAAUUCGUAGAUAUCAGGAGGAACACCCGAGGCGAAGGCGGCUGUCUGGCAAUACAUUGACGCUGAGGUGCGAAAGCGUGGGGAGCAAACAGG
rnacentral:rRNA from 1 species